rnacentral:rRNA from 1 species
CGUGAGGGAAAGGUGAAAAGAACCCCGGGAGGGGAGUGAAAGAGAACCUGAAACCCUGCACUUACAAGCUGUAGGAGCACAUUUCUUGUGUGACUGCGUACUUUUUGUAGAACGGGCCAACGAGUUACGUUGUGUAGCAAGGUUAAGCACUUAAGGUGUGGAGCCGUAGCGAAAGCGAGUCUUAAAUGGGCGUCCAGUUACCCGACGUAGACCCGAAACCAGGCGACCUAUCCAUGAGCAGGUUGAAGCGAAAGUAAAAUUUCGUGGAGGACCGAACCCACGUACGUUGAAAAGUGCGGGGAUGACUUGUGGAUAGCGGAGAAAUUCCAAUCGAACCUGGAGAUAGCUGGUUCUCCCCGAAAUAGCUUUAGGGCUAGCCUCAAGCUUAGAGAAACGGAGGUAGAGCACUGAAUGUCCUAGGGGGUAUUGCACUUACCGAAGACUAUCAAACUCCGAAUGCCGUAUUCUUUUGCUUGGGAGUCAGACUAUGGGUGAUAAGAUUCAUAGUCAAGAGGGCAACAGCCCAGAUCGUCAGCUAAGGUCCCUAAAUGUAAGUUAAGUGGUAAAGGAUGUGGAAUUGCACAGACAACCAGGAUGUUGGCUUAGAAGCAGCCACUCAUUUAAAGAGUGCGUAAUAGCUCACUGGUCGAGUGAUUCUGCGCCGAAAAUUUCCGGGGCUAAAACUUACUACCGAAGCUACGGCAUCAUUAUGAUGGGUAGGGGAGCUUUCUAUGCGGCUUGAAGCAUGACCGUAAGGACAUGUGGACUGCAUAGAAGUGAGAAUGUUGGCAUGAGUAGCGAGAUGUGGGUGAGAAUCCCACAGGCCGUAAACCCAAGGUUUCCAGGGGAAGGUUCGUCCGCCCUGGGUUAGUCAGGACCUAAGCCGAGGCCGAAAGGCGUAGGUGAUGGACAACAGGUUGAUAUUCCUGUACCACCAAUAACCGUUUGAGAAAUGGGAUGACACAGUAGGAUAAGCUAACCGCACUGUUGGUUAUGUGCGGGCAAGUAUUGAGGCAGUUCCGAUAGGCAAAUCCGUCGGAAUAAUGCUGGGGUACGAUGCGGAGCGAAAUUUAGUAGCGAAGUAGCUGAUUUCACACUGUCGAGAAAAGUCUCUAUCGAGGUUAAAGGUGCCUGUACCGCAAACCGACACAGGUGGGUGAGGAGAGUAUCCUAAGGCCAGCGAGAGAACUGUUGUUAAGGAACUCGGCAAAAUGACCCCGUAACUUAGGGAGAAGGGGUGCCUUCGAAAGAAGGCCGCAGAGAAUAGGCCCAAGCGACUGUUUACCAAAAACAUAGGUUUCUGCUAAGUCGCAAGACGAUGUAUAGGAGCUGACGCCUGCCCGGUGCUGGAAGGUUAAGGGGAUCUGUUAGAGCAAUCGAAGCAGUGAACUUAAGCCCCAGUAAACGGCGGCCGUAACUAUAACGGUCCUAAGGCAGCGAAAUUCCUUGUCGGGUAAGUUCCGACCCGCACGAAAGGCGUAAUGAUUUGA